AACUCUGUGCCUUUUGAGAGUUGAAGGCUUAAAACAACAACAACCACCACAACAAAACUAUUCACCUUUUUAUCCAAUAGAAACUAAGCUGGGAAAACCAAGACAUAGUGAAUCUGAGAAACUGCCUAAGGACAAGCUCAUCGGCAAGCGGCAGAGCAGUUUUUAAUCAAGGCCCACUUUUUAACCACUGGAAAGAAAAGAGGGAAGGUUCUGAUUUCAUGCUCACUGGGACACUUCCUGGACACAUUCAGCUUCUUACCCAUUAUUCAGAAGGAGAAGUAGAAACCUGUAGAAGUAGCCCUGGGGAGGGUAGUUUCUGAUAAAGGAUGUCUCCAUUUGGAAAUUAA
ensembl:lncRNA LNX1-AS2 LNX1 antisense RNA 2